GUUUUAGUAGCUUACUUUGAGCAAAGUUCUGAAGAAACUUAGGUGAAUUAUAAUUCCUAAAACA
rnacentral:tRNA from 1 species